rnacentral:rRNA from 1 species
GAAUCUUGGACAAUGGGGGAAACCCUGAUCCAGCGACGCCGCGUGACCGAUGAAGGCCCUAGGGUUGUAAAGCUCUUUCACCCACGAGGAUAAUGACGGUAGUGGGAGAAGAAGCCCCGGCUAACUUCGUGCCAGCAGCCGCGGUAAUACGAAGGGGGCUAGCGUUGUUCGGAAUCACUGGGCGUAAAGCGCACGUAGGCGGACUGAUCAGUCAGGGGUGAAAUCCCGGGGCUUAACCCCGGAACUGCCUUUGAUACUGUCAGUCUUGAGGCCGAGAGAGGUGAGUGGAACUCCGAGUGUAGAGGUGAAAUUCGUAGAUAUUCGGAAGAACACCAGUGGCGAAGGCGGCUCACUGGCUCGGUACUGACGCUGAGGUGCGAAAGCGUGGGGAGCAACCAGG